AAAAAAUAAAAUCUUAAAAAAAAUAACAUCCCCAUUCUUUCAGAUGAGGAAACUGAGCCUCAGAGAGCUUAAGUGACCUGCCUAAGGUCACACAGCUGAUAAAAGCUGGACCCAGGAUUUCAACCCAGGUCUGGCUCCAAAGCCCUUUCCACUCUACCCUGCUCAUGAAUGCACAAAGGACACACCCUUACUGAAAGGGCAGAGGGAAGGAGGGGAGAGUGUUUUCAGGGAAAACAUGAUAGAAACAAAAUGCUCGCCAUGGAGAGAGAGUAAUGAGUAAGGAGGCAGAAGGGAUAGGCCAGGGCCAGAUCGCGGGGGGCCUGAAAGUCACCUGAGGACUUUGCACUUCAUCACAGGCAAUGAGGAGUCGCUGCAAAAAGUGAAGAAGGGGUGGGACGUUAAAUUAGGCGUAGCCUAAGAGAAAGGGAGGUGGUGGUAAGAGCAGAGGGCAAGGGCUGUUGGAGUCAUAGCGCCCUGGAGCUGGAAGGGAUCCUGGAGCUCACCGUCGUCACUCAUCUGACACGUGAGAAAACUGUGGCGCAGAGAGGGGAAGUGAGUUGCUGAAAGGAUGCUUGCUGUGGGGCACUGCCCAGCUCUGCCUCGACCCUCAGCGCCGAAGCCCUCAGCUCCCCAGCUGUAGGGAGUGCUGCUGAUCGACAGUGCACAGCUGAGCCCCUCACCAGGAACGGCCCUUAGCUGAAGAGAGCCACUGCGCCCAAGGUCGUGCACCCAUCCCAGGUGGCAGCCUGCAUCCGUGACGGGUCAGUGCAGAAGCUAAAGCCCUGGCCCCUUUACCACAGUGUAGGACAACUCCGAGGGCCACGCUGGCUCCAGAGCUCCCCGUAGGAGGCUUUGCUGUGGCUGCAUGGCAGUUCCUCUUCCUCCUCUGCCCGGUCCUGCUUUCUUCACCCCCCAUGGGUGUGGAUCCUGAGAGUGCCCCCCAUCCAGGAGCUCGGGACAAGUGACCUUAGAGACUGGGUCAAAAGAUGCUGGGAGAACCCUGCCUCAUCCCCCCGGGAGCGCUCUGCAUGCAAGACCCAGGGUUUCACAACUGGCGCCCAUGCUGUGCCCACUGACACGCCCUGUUCACUGGAGUCCUCCCUCACCAUGUGCCAGCAGCUGCUGCAGCCCUGUUUGGUGGUGAAAGGAAGGGUAGAAGGUAUCCUCUCCAUUUACAGACCACCUGAUUUCUCCUGCAGCUGCAGUUUCCAGCAUUCUGACAGUCUUCCAUCUCAAGUAGCCUGUCUCUCUUCUCUGCCUGAGGCUUUCUUGGGCAAUGGAAGCUUGCUCUGCCUGAGCCAGGUGCAACCCGGAAGUGCAGGAUAGUAAACAUCAUUGGCGCUGACCUUCAACCAAUGGGGAUGGAAUAAAUAUCACACACUUCUCCUCCGAUGGGAUGAUUCUGAGGCAUGGUCCACAUGGUUUAUCAGAGAGUCUCCUGCAAGACUGAGUCCCAGCUGCCCACAAGAUAACUUGCUCGUUAACGUACUUGUUAGUAGCUUUUCUCCCUUCUUUGUCUCACUUUCCCCAUUUUCUUCUUGUGCUCCUGAGAUCACCUCCUAAAUAAACCACCUGUACCC
ensembl:lncRNA